rnacentral:rRNA from 1 species
CCGCUUGGGGAUGGGCUCGCGGCCUAUUAGUUAGUUGGUGAGGUAACGGCUCACCAAGGCGAUGACGGGUAGCCGGUCUGAGAGGAUGUCCGGCCACACUGGAACUGAGACACGGUCCAGACACCUACGGGUGGCAGCAGUCGAGAAUCAUUCACAAUGGGGGAAACCCUGAUGGUGCGACGCCGCGUGGGGGAGCGAAGGUCUUCGGAUUGUAAACCCCUGUCAAGUGGGAGCAAAUUAAAAAGAUAGUACCACUAGAGGAAGAGACGGCUAACUCUGUGCCAGCAGCCGCGGUAAUACAGAGGUCUCAAGCGUUGUUCGGAAUCACUGGGCGUAAAGCGUACGUAGGCGGCUUGGUAAGUCGUGUGUGAAAGGCAGGGGCUCAACCUCUGGACUGCACAUGAUACUGCCAGGCUAGAGUAAUGGAGGGGAAACCGGAAUUCUCGGUGUAGCAGUGAAAUGCGUAGAUAUCGAGAGGAACACUCGUGGCGA